rnacentral:lncRNA from 1 species
CUCCUCCCCGCCCCCGGGAGAGGCGAGCGCUCUGUGGGGAGCCGCUCCGAGAGGGAGCCGGAGCCGCCGCCGCCGCCGCCGCCGCUCGAGCAUCAACAUCUGGUGGCAGCUGGAGACAGGAUAUUCGGGUGCUCACCUUCCUCACUUACUACUCCCUGUUGGUACAGAGUCCUCUCAUAUUCCCAGGGUGACAUCGCUGGAAGUUUUCCUGUUGAAAAGAACUGAAACUUGAGGAGCCUAAGUUCUUGUAGCCAUUUAUGCUGAAUGAAAUGACAGUGGGAGACAGAGAGCUCCAACAUCAUCUUGGCCUGGACCUUAGGCCUCCUGCCUCCUGCUCUGAUUCCUGGGUUGCAGAUGAAGGCGGCAGAAACAAAGCUGCUCCCAAGCUCCAGAAGAAAGGCCAGAGCUUGAGUAUUUCUAGCAGUAAUUUCUCAAAACGGUGUUCAUUGUUGAUGAAUAUGUUGCAACGUCCAAAAAUGCAACGAGUGACUCAGAGAAUGAGAAGAGGAAAAAUAUAGCUUUUUAAUGAGGAUUCCUCAGCCAACUACAGAGUGUCCCCGUCAAGAAACCACUGUUCGACCAUGCAAAAGUCACCCAGUCCUUGCUUUUAUGUCUUUUCUGCGUGUGUUUGAAACAUAGUUGCACUUACUAUAUAUUUCCAUUUAUUCAUUUGCCCGAUAUUUUAUUUUUCUGUUUUAUAUUUACAGGGAUUACAACAUUCUGACAUCAAAACCAAACCAAAACCCACAGAACAACAUGUUUACAAAUAGUUCUGGAUUUUAUUUUUUGUGUACAUGUGUAAGAAAAGGAAAAGAGCAAAGGCUAAGUUUACCACUACUGGCGUAAUAACGUCUCUAAUAGUUUCAGACUGAGCUUCUAUUCUUAAAAAUUAUCCUUGCAAGGACUCUGCAGCAAAUAUAACCAUCAAGUUCAAGCAGCACAGCUCUGAAGGAGUGUAAUAGUAGGGGAUUACCUUGUGGGAUGGUGUCCAGUGCUGAUCUACUUCAAGAAUCGACAUUGACUUUCUUUCUGGAAAGAUUGUUUCUCAUUCUUGGAAAAUAUAACUUUUUCUUUCAUAUG